rnacentral:rRNA from 1 species
AUUGAACGCUGGCGGCAGGCCUAACACAUGCAAGUCGAACGGUAACAGGAAGCAGCUUGCUGCUUUGCUGACGAGUGGCGGACGGGUGAGUAAUGUCUGGGAAACUGCCUGAUGGAGGGGGAUAACUACUGGAAACGGUAGCUAAUACCGCAUAACGUCGCAAGACCAAAGAGGGGGACCUUCGGGCCUCUUGCCAUCGGAUGUGCCCAGAUGGGAUUAGCUAGUAGGUGGGGUAACGGCUCACCUAGGCGACGAUCCCUAGCUGGUCUGAGAGGAUGACCAGCCACACUGGAACUGAGACGCGGUCCAGACUCCUACGGGAGGCAGCAGUGGGGAAUAUUGCACAAUGGGCGCAAGCCUGAUGCAGCCAUGCCGCGUGUAUGAAGAAGGCCUUCGGGUUGUAAAGUACUUUCAGCAGGGAGGAAGGGAGUAAAGUUAAUACCUUUGCUCAUUGACGUUACCCGCAGAAGAAGCACCGGCUAACUCCGUG